rnacentral:rRNA from 1 species
GUUGUGAACUCGAAGAGUAGGGCGGGACACGUGGUAUCCUGUCUGAAUAUGGGGGGACCAUCCUCCAAGGCUAAAUACUCCUGACUGACCGAUAGUGAACCAGUACCGUGAGGGAAAGGCGAAAAGAACCCCGGCGAGGGGAGUGAAAAAGAACCUGAAACCGUGUACGUACAAGCAGUGGGAGCCUCUUUAUGGGGUGACUGCGUACCUUUUGUAUAAUGGGUCAGCGACUUAUAUUCUGUAGCAAGGUUAACCGAAUAGGGGAGCCGAAGGGAAACCGAGUCUUAACUGGGCGUUAAGUUGCAGGGUAUAGACCCGAAACCCGGUGAUCUAGCCAUGGGCAGGUUGAAGGUUGGGUAACACUAACUGGAGGACCGAACCGACUAAUGUUGAAAAAUUAGCGGAUGACUUGUGGCUGGGGGUGAAAGGCCAAUCAAACCGGGAGAUAGCUGGUUCUCCCCGAAAGCUAUUUAGGUAGCGCCUCGUGAACUCAUCUUCGGGGGUAGAGCACUGUUUCGGCUAGGGGGUCAUCCCGACUUACCAACCCGAUGCAAACUGCGAAUACCGAAGAAUGUUAUCACGGGAGACACACGGCGGGUGCUAACGUCCGUCGUGAAGAGGGAAACAACCCAGACCGCCAGCUAAGGUCCCAAAGUCAUGGUUAAGUGGGAAACGAUGUGGGAAGGCACAGACAGCCAGGAUGUUGGCUUAGAAGCAGCCAUCAUUUAAAGAAAGCGUAAUAGCUCACUGGUCGAGUCGGCCUGCGCGGAAGAUGUAACGGGGCUAAACCAUGCACCGAAGCUGCGGCAGCGACACUAUGUGUUGUUGGGUAGGGGAGCGUUCUGUAAGCCGUUGAAGGUGUGCUGUGAGGCAUGCUGGAGGUAUCAGAAGUGCGAAUGCUGACAUAAGUAACGAUAAUGCGGGUGAAAAACCCGCACGCCGGAAGACCAAGGGUUCCUGUCCAACGUUAAUCGGGGCAGGGUGAGUCGACCCCUAAGGCGAGGCCGAAAGGCGUAGUCGAUGGGAAACAGGUUAAUAUUCCUGUACUUGGUGUUACUGCGAAGGGGGGACGGAGAAGGCUAUGUUAGCCGGGCGACGGUUGUCCCGGUUUAAGCAUGUAGGCGGAGAUUCCAGGUAAAUCCGGAGUCUUGUUAACGCUGAGGUGUGAUGACGAGGCACUACGGUGCUGAAGUAACAAAUGCCCUGCUUCCAGGAAAAGCCUCUAAGCAUCAGGUAACACGAAAUCGUACCCCAAACCGACACAGGUGGUCAGGUAGAGAAUACCAAGGCGCUUGAGAGAACUCGGGUGAAGGAACUAGGCAAAAUGGUGCCGUAACUUCGGGAGAAGGCACGCUGAUAUGUAGGUGAAGUGAUUUACUCAUGGAGCUGAAAUCAGUCGAAGAUACCAGCUGGCUGCAACUGUUUAUUAAAAACACAGCACUGUGCAAACACGAAAGUGGACGUAUACGGUGUGACGCCUGCCCGGUGCCGGAAGGUUAAUUGAUGGGGUUAUCCGUAAGGAGAAGCUCUUGAUCGAAGCCCCGGUAAACGGCGGCCGUAACUAUAACGGUCCUAAGGUAGCGAAAUUCCUUGUCGGGUAAGUUCCGACCUGCACGAAUGGCGUAAUGAUGGCCAGGCUGUCUCCACCCGAGACUCAGUGAAAUUGAACUCGCUGUGAAGAUGCAGUGUACCCGCGGCAAGACGGAAAGACCCCGUGAACCUUUACUAUAGCUUGACACUGAACACUGGUCCUUGAUGUGUAGGAUAGGUGGGAGGCUUUGAAGUGUGGACGCCAGUCUGCAUGGAGCCAACCUUGAAAUACCACCCUUUAAUGGCU